AUUGAACGCUGGCGGCAUGCUUUACACAUGCAAGUCGAACGGCAGCGCGGGCUUCGGCCUGGCGGCGAGUGGCGAACGGGUGAGUAAUGCAUCGGAACGUGCCCAGCAUUGGGGGAUAGCCCGGCGAAAGCCGGAUUAAUACCGCAUACGACCUGAGGGUGAAAGCGGGGGACCGAAAGGCCUCGCGCUAUUUGAGCGGCCGAUGUCGGAUUAGCUAGUUGGUGGGGUAAAGGCUUACCAAGGCGACGAUCCGUAGCUGGUCUGAGAGGACGACCAGCCACACUGGGACUGAGACACGGCCCAGACUCCUACGGGAGGCAGCAGUGGGGAAUUUUGGACAAUGGGGGCAACCCUGAUCCAGCCAUGCCGCGUGCGGGAAGAAGGCCUUCGGGUUGUAAACCGCUUUUGUUCGGGAAGAAAUCCUCUGGGCUAAUACCCCGGGGGGAUGACGGUACCGGAAGAAUAAGCACCGGCUAACUACGUG
rnacentral:rRNA from 1 species